rnacentral:lncRNA from 1 species
AUCUAGUUGUUCUUGCUAGUUCUUCGAUUGCUUGCAGCACGAGUGCCCUAGUAGCCGGAGUGUCACGCUCCACAAAAUCACGACAGCCAUUGGAGGUAGUGUAUCAGUUGCUAAGGCGCAGCGUCAUUGAAAGGCUGUAGUCGGGCCGUAAACGUCAUCUCCAUCCACCAAUCGAGUAAUCCCAUAUCCUCUCAUCGAAAGAUCAGAAAUCAACCCUACGGGUUCAUAUCAGUUGGUAUCAGAGCAAUGUUUAUCGGUGAGAGACUUUCAAUUCUUCGCUAUUUUAAUUUUCCUAUAGUCCAGAAAAGCUACAAAAUAGUAGAUUAGUUUACCCACAAUCCUAUAAACUCUUUGAGCCUUUGCUAGUACUGCUUAGUUAGGGCUUGUUAAGUUUUCAGUUGCAUCGGUUAUGUCGAGUUGCUGGUCUUAGUUUUAGUCCUUUAGAGUUUUAGUUCUUGUCACGUUCUAGUCACAGUCGUGUGCUACCAUAUAAACCCUCUGUUGGCUGAAUCUGAGUACAUCUUUGUGUUCAAGUCCAACUAGGAAUCGGAGUUGAUCAAGAUUGAAUCCCACGUGGCGUUGAAGUUCAAGUUGGAAUCGGUUUUGAGUUCAAAUUGAUUGCUGCGCCAUGUUACCAAAUCUUGUUGCUAUUGGGCUUGU